rnacentral:rRNA from 1 species
UACGUAGGCAGCGAGCGUUGUUCGGAAUUACUGGGCGUAAAGAGUGUGUAGGCGGUGCUCUAAGUUCGGUGUGAAAUCUCCUGGCUUAACUGGGAGGGUGCGCCGAAAACUGGAGUGCUCGAGCGUGGGAGAGGAAAGCGGAAUUCCUGGUGUAGCGGUGAAAUGCGUAGAUAUCAGGAGGAACACCUGCAGUGUAGACGGCUUUCUGGACCAUUGCUGACGCUGAGACACGAAAGCGUGGGUAGCAAACAGG